UACGGAGGGGGCUAGCGUUGUUCGGAUUCAUUGGGCGUAAAGGGUGCGUAGGCGGCGAGGUAAGUCGGAUGUGAAAUCCCGGGGCUCAACCCUGGAACUGCAUUCGAUACUGCCUUGCUCGAGGACUCGAGAGGAGAUUGGAAUUCACGGUGUAGCAGUGAAAUGCGUAGAUAUCGUGAGGAAGACCAGUGGCGAAGGCGGAUCUCUGGAGAGUUCCUGACGCUGAGGCACGAAGGCCAGGGGAGCAAACGGG
rnacentral:rRNA from 1 species